CGGAAAGUGCUGGAAAGCCUCUGACCUGGCUUCUCUGCAGAACCUGACUUGAAGCCAUGAGUCACUUGUAAAAAAUGCAAAGGCAACUGAGGCACCGAGGGACAGCUCCGAAAAUGGUACCCUGCAGCUGGCUCCCUGACUGCUUCUAGGAGCGGGAUGGCAGACCUGCAGGGACUGGUGGAGAGACUAGAACGUGUGGUCAGCCGGCUGGAGCUGCUGUCUGCAGAGUCACACAGGCCUCCUGGGGACUGUGGGGAGGUUAAUGGUGUCACCGGAGGUGUGACACCCUCCGUGGAAGCCUUUGACAAGCUGAUGAACAGUAUGGUGGCCGAGUUUCUAAAGAACAGUAGGAUCCUUGCUGGUGAUGUGGAGACUCACGUGAGUACUCCCCUCCCUGUUCUCUGUAGACAGUCCAGAAUGGUCAGCCCAGCCUUGGACAACUCUAGUGGCCUCAUGAGAUCUUAUUUACUUUCUUUUUACUUUACCUAGCUAGGCGUAGCCAAAGCACUCAUUUAUGCAUUUAUGCAUUUAUUCACUUAAUUGUCCUGCAGUGGCUCCUGAUGGAGGCACUUCUAGAAUGCACUGUUACAGAAGCUAGGACAUCAGGGAUGAACAAGAUAGGUGAGUCCUGCCCUCCCCAAAUGAUCAUUUUAUUAUGGGAAAUAGAUGAUAUAUAUAACUAGAUAAACUAAUUCCGGUAAUAUAGGCAUUGCAAAAAAAAGUAAGAAAGCAUAUGGAAAGGAUAUGGAAAGUGUGGUAGCAGGGACACUAUUGUCUGAGGAGGUGACAUUUGAGCAGAGAACUGAGUGGAGAAAGGACGUGAGCCAUGUGGUGAUAUGGGGACAGAGGUCCAGGUAGAGGAGCUAGCAGGGUAAAACCCAGGGGAUGGAACAUACUGGUGUGUUCUCAGCAGAGCAGAGGCCAAGGUGAGUUAGGGAAAGGGAUAGCAAGGGGCUGGAUCCUAACAGGGUCGUGUCAGUCACAGUAAAGUAUGUGGCUCGUGUUCCAAGUGUGUUGGGAAACCACCGAGUACACUGGGCAGAUGACGGAGGACAAGUUGGUUGAAAUGACUCAGUUAUCAGACGCCUCUCUUUUCUAAAUGCAGCCUGAGGCUAUCACCUCACACCUCAUAGAAUGUUUCUACUAUCAAUAAGAGCCAGUAAGUAGCAAGUAUUGGCAAGGAUGUAGGGAAAUCCUGACCUUUGUGCACUGUUGGUGGGAAUGUAAGAUGGAACAGCUAUUACAGAAACCUUGUGGAAGUUCUUCAAAAAACUAAAAAUGGAAUUACCAUAUGCUCCAGCAAUCUCACUUCUGGGUAGUUAUCCCAAAACAUUGAAGGCAGUGUUUCAAAGACAAUCACAUAACCAUGUUUGUAGCAGCCCUCUUCGGAAUACUCGAGAGGUAGAAAUAACAGAUGAGUGGAUAAUUGAUAAAUUGAUGAGUGGACAUGUGGUAUCUACCUACAGUAGAAUAUUAUUCAGCCUUAAAAAGGAAGGAAAUCCCAUUAAUAUGCUAUAAAAUGGGAGAACUUUUAAGACUCUAUACUAAGAGAAAUAAGCCAGUGUAUGAUUCCACUUAUACAAGGUAUCCAGAGUCCACUUCAGAGAGACAGAAAGUAGAAUGCCAGUUGCCAGAAGCUGGGAGGAGGGAGGAAGUGGGGAGUUAUUUAACAGGUGCAGAGUUUCAGUUUUCCAAGGUGAAAGAGUCCUGAAGAUUGUGUACCCAGCAGUGUGAAAAUACUUAACCUUCCUGAACUAUACACUUAAAAAUGGUUACAAUGGUAAAUUUUAUUAUCUGUAUCUUAUCACGUUUUUUUAAAAAGUGUAGCCUGAGGAUAAGCAAAAUCAUAGAAUUAGAGAAUUCCUUAAUUGAAAGAGAUUUUCCAAGAUUUCUAGGCCGGCUCUGGUUCUGCUUUUUGAACAUUUUUAAAUAUUAGCAUUAUUCUUGAAGUUAGUCAGUAUUUCCCUGUAUUUAGUGAAAAUAUAAUAAGUAAAGCCAAUUAAAACCUUUUUAAAAAGGGAUUUAUCACCAGGUUCUUUUUUACUGGCCUUUGUUUAUCAUGAGAUUGAAUUCCAAACCCAUCUGCUUAUGGGUUUGUAUUAGUAUUAUUAGUAGUGGGACAAUACUGGCAAAACCAUUUUCUUUAUAGAUUCCCAGAAAACCUGAAUCCUGAAAAAAAGGUGUGCUUUGUGGUUAAGAAAAAGAAGUGAAAAGGAUUUUCCCUUUGCUCCUCCCCAGCCCAAGUCCUGCAGGGGACCUGAGGACUCUGCUUCUGCCAGAGUUUUCAUGACUGUCAUUAAGGAGUCAUCUCACCACAUCACAAUGUGUUUGUUUGCCAUAGCUCAGAAAAACAAAGAUCCUUGUGAUGACUUUCAUUUUUAUUCAGUGUUUCUGUUGAAAUGCCCACUGGUGAAAGAGGGGAAGCUUUGUUCUACUUGAGUUCCAGGAACAUCUGUGUCCUAAGACAUGUCCACUUCAUAUAUAUCACACAGCUCUGUCAUUACGCUGGUCUGCUCUUUUUCAUGGUGUUUUUGUUUAAAGAAUCCUCCUAUGCAGCUGGGUUGCUGGUGUGUGCCUGUAAUCACAGCAACUCAGGUUGAGGCAGGAGGAUUGCAAGUUCGAGGCCAACCUGAGCUACACAGAAAAAUAGUGUCUCAAGAACUAAAAACAAAACAAAAAACAUAUGCAGCAAGUUAGUGGCUCAACUUCUGUAUUCUGAGAUAUGAACAUACCUGAAAAACCAACAUACACAAAGGAAUAUCAUCCCCAAUAUGUGAGAAGAGAUGCUUGAGUGAUUGAUGAACACCUACUGUCUUGAGCACUGUCACAGUAACUACUGUGACAUUACCAUUAGUUAAUGUUGACAUCAUACUUCUGGGGUACACAGUACAUCUUCACUUUUAUUAGUAAUUUCUCACAAAAUUCUACAUAGAAGUUUUUAAGUAGAGAAAGUGAGACUUAUAAUAUGUAAGUGCAUUUUUAAAAAUGUAAGAAUUGCAUACUAAGUCUUCUUUAAAUUCCUGUUAGAAUGAAGUGAGUUGUAAUGUAUAACUUGACUUAACUUAAGGUUUUUUUCUUCCUAUUCAGCAGACCAUAUGACUCUAAUGAAUAAAUAUUCUCAAUAAUAAGUAUGUAAUGUUUAAAGAACUUUAGAUUUAAACAGAAGAAAGGAAGGAAAAGAAGUGAGGGAGAGAGGAAGGAGGGAAGGAAGGAAGGAAAGAAGGGACAAAGGAAGGAAGGGAGGGAAGGAAGGAGGAAAGAAGGAAGGGAGGGAGGGAGAAAAAAAGCAGAAAGAAAAAAAGACGAGAGACACACUUGUCAUCUGGAAAUUUAGACACUGGCUCUACAGCACAAAGCAGAGUGGAGGCAGCUAUAGUCCAUCUGCCGGUCGCUUUAAUACUUUGAACAAGCAGCUUAUUUUUCCUCCAUGCAGAACCAUGUGUCACUGGCAUUAAGCUUGCAGCUGCCGCCUCUCACAUAAGCCAGAAGUGGGAGUUAAACUUUGUUCCAAGAACACACCUGUUGUCUAGAAAAAAAUCCCCUACAUACCUGAUUGUACAGUAUGGAAAUUUGAGAGUGACACAAAUGUGCAUCGUGUUCAAUCCUGUCCCUGUGCUUAAAAGCUAUUUCACAGAUACUAAUAAUGAAUAAGAGCAGCCAAACUGUGGUUUAACGUCUGUCUUGAUGUGUUGGCUGCUGGUUGGGCUUAAUUUACCGAACACUCAAUAAUCUAUUGACAGAACAGACCACAAAAAGGGGAACUAAUAGCUACAACUAGGAAGCUCUGCUGAACUGAAGAACAUAACAGGUUUAGAAAAGAUUAAAUCUCAUAAAGCCUUCUUAUAUGCAAGGUAACCCAGAGGGCUUAUUUAAAUUACUCUUCAGCCAAGAACACCUGCACAGCUUGUACUUCUUUAAAAAAAAAAAAAGAAUAAACAACGCAUAAUUUUAAAAUAGAUGUUAAAGUAAACAUCAUCCUCAGUGUUAAAGGAAAGGAUCCUGUAGAAAAAGGGCCCAAAAUACCAAGCCCUUGAUUGGGCAUUGUCCAUAAAUGGCUUAGUAAGAUUUUUGUAGUGAUUUGUUGAUGAAGCUGUGCUAUUGUUAUUCCUGGUAUAUAAAAACUAAUCUCAGGGCUAUUGCUCAGUGACAAUUAUGAAGCAACUGCAAAUCAUAGUUCUUCCUAACCUCAGUCAUUUUGAAGAUUUGUAGAAUUUACAUUUGAAAUGUUUCUGGGAGUCUGAAAUUUUACUUUCUUUUCUUGAUUAAAAUGGGUUUUUAAAAAUUCUUUUAUUAAUUGUCUAAUAACAAUGAGAGGGCUACAGUUUGAACACAAGAACAAUAAAAUUCAAUUAAACACUGGACACUUAGCAUUGAUUAAAUCACACACUGUAUAAUAUUAUGUCCUUAUUCCUGACUUUAUAAAGGACAGACGUUUUAGUUGAUUAUUACAGCCUCUUUUUUGAUGGCUCACAUCACUGUACUAAAUGAUCCAAAUCUUCACUGUCUACUUAAAUCAUCUGCAAAUUUUUUUUUAUUUAGUUUU